UUUGAAUAAGAGGAUGUCCAGCAACUCUACAUAAUAAUGUAUUAGUUUUUGUGCAAUUUAAAACGCUCUUUGGGGCAAUAAGGCAAAAUUAACAUUCAAUACUUACAGUCGUAAAAAAUUUUCCAAACCUUGUCUACGUUCUUCGAUAACAUCAUCUCUAAAUCUUUGAGUGAAUAUCUUUCCUGGAAGUGGUGGAAUUGAAACACGACCGGACUCUCUUUCAAGCAUAUCGUGAAAUUUCUCGAAUUCGCUGUAACGUCGACGAACGCUAGAAUUAUGUAGACGAAAAUAGGGCAUAUUGGUCUACAAAAAUGAGUUAAUAAUCUGCUAUCAGAAGAUGAAUUUCAGUGGUACCUACCCGACAAACAAUUUCAUAAGUAGUAAACAUGUUUCUUCCAAUACCGUGAGUUUGUGGAUUUAUAACCUAAAAUAACAUCUAUUAGAAAUAUUUCGAAAUAAUAAAGUAAACAUACAUCAAUUUCAAGGAUGUUUUCAGGAACAUCAUACAUUUGUUGAGUAGUUUGCUGCCUGAUUUCCGGUCUACUUAAUUUAUCCAUUUAUUUACCCUUAUUACUCUUAAGAGCGAUAUCCAAUAUUAUUUUACUGUUUAACAAGUAAUAGUUGAAAUUUUGAAGAAGUUUAAAAGUUUCGAUACAAGGUGUAGUGUCUAGCUCAGAUACGGG